ensembl:ncRNA lncRNA:CR44633 long non-coding RNA:CR44633
UUAGAGUUAUUUCGUGCUGCGGUCACAUUAGAGACGUUCUGCCGGAAUGGCGUGUCAUUGUGAAAAUGUGUUAAUCUUCGGAAUUUAGUCAAAUCGCUGACUUUAAUCAUAAUUAUGGCUCUGCCAAUGAUGGGGGCACGAGGUCAGUGGGCGGAGGGCGCAAGGCGUGGCACUCAACCGCCAAACGUGCCAGCUGCCACCGAUUGCAGCUAGCUCGCCAGUGCCAUUGUCAAAGUAAAGGACCCUCGAGUGGGCCGAACGGAUGACGACGAGGAUGAAGCUGAAUGGAUGAGAGCGAGAAUGAGAGGCUGAGGACCAGGAUCGGAAUGAGGAUGACGAGUGGCAGCCACCACAAACUACAACUCGUGCACGCACGGACACAAAAUUUCGAUUGCAUCCCGGACUGGCGAAACGGCAGAGCCCAGUUGCCACGAGACCCACUUCACUCAGCUGCAAUGCACUGCACUCUGCACUUGGAGAAAAGAAGAGACAUUCAUUUAA